GAUGAACGCUAGCGGCAGGCUUAACACAUGCAAGUCGAGGGGUAUAGGUUUUCGGACCUAGAGACCGGCGCACGGGUGCGUAACGCGUAUGCAAUCUACCUUUCACAGAGGGAUAGCCCAGAGAAAUUUGGAUUAAUACCUCAUAGUAUAGCAGUUUCGCAUGAAACCACUAUUAAAGUUCCAGCGGUGAAAGAUGAGCAUGCGUCCCAUUAGCUAGAUGGUAAGGUAACGGCUUACCAUGGCUACGAUGGGUAGGGGUCCUGAGAGGGAGAGCACCCAUCCUGGUACUGGGACACGGACCAGACUCCUACGGGAGGCAGCAGUGAGGAAUAUUGGUCAAUGGACGCAAGUCUGAACCAGCCAUGCCGCGUGCAGGAUGACGGUCCUAUGGAUUGUAAACUGCUUUUGUACGAGAAGAAACACUCCUUCGUGAAGGAGCUUGACGGUAUCGUAAGAAUAAGGAUCGGCUAACUCCGUGCCAGCCGCCGCCGUAAGAC
rnacentral:rRNA from 1 species